UAAGCUGAAAACAUCCGAUUCUGUCAAUAGUACCCGAUUUCACCCCGAAAUACAGGUUCAAAAAUAGCACCCGAUUUUCCCUCCAGAAUCUGGUAAAGGCAUUUAACCCGAAAAAGUCGGACAUUUGCAUAUCCAAUCAUUGCGAUGCUCUAAAAGUUGACGAGGUGGCUGGCUGGCGGGUAUAUGAUGCUUGGUUUUGCAGGGCUGCACAUAAAGCUUGACAAGCACCAUCUAGCCCUGUGCGUUUACACUUUCACUACAUUGUGCUGGGGGUAUGUUUAUUAAAAAGGAAAAGGACAGGUUAGUCAGGCAAUCCAGGUUAGCCACUGUGCUGGUUAGAUUACUACUACACUGUAAAAAAUAGUCGUGAAAAAUACGGGCAUAUCGCCGCGAAAAUAACAGCCGCCAACCCGUUGUUUUAAAUCACACGCGUUUCCUGUUAUUUCGCGGGGGAGGAGUAGUCUGGGCAUGCGCAUUGGACCUGCAUGGCCUUCUCAGAGCAACCGGCCGGCACUCGUGUGAGGAACACAAGUGUGCCCCGACGUCAAAACCGUAAAAGUCAAAGCUGUGCCUGCCCUCGUGGGCUUUCGCAAGAAGAUUUUGAAGGUAUGUGAACUGUUAUUAUGCCCUUUAUGAUGUCAGCUUUUUAGAAUAAAGGGAAACAUGCGCCGCCGUUGUGUGUUACCAAAUACGUAGUGCGUACGUAGGCGACAGCGUUCCGUUGAAGGCGGCGCCAUUCGAAUGGCGCCUUCUUCAACGGAACGCUUUCGCCUUCCGCUGUGUUCUCACUUGUCACACUGUCCAUGUCAUAGCCAUGCAAAUUCUCCAAAUUUCCCUAUCAAACCACUAAAAUGAGCAAUGUGUAACUUUCUGGAACUAGUGGAAGGGUGUGCGUUCAUCCGCGUGGACAUUUGCAACAGGCCCGGGUUGACAAGCGCCGGUUAACGAGAUUGAACGCUCAACCGAGAUUAAGGAUGCUUUACACCUUUUUAUUAAUAUGGUUAAUUCGUGACGCAAGAUUUAUUUUAGAAAUGCUUCACAGUGCUGUCGAAAGAGAGUUGAGUCGCAAUUCCAAGUCGAGGAACCCUUGAUCUCGUUUAACCGACGUUGAUCGAAUGAGGCCAUUGUGUACGCCCGUGGUUCAUAUAAUUUUUAAGUGUUUGCACUAUUUUUAAGACCACAAAUAUCAAUGCUCCAUACAGAAUGCAUAAAACAAACAUGAGGAUAAAACAGUAGCACAAAUGUUGGUAAAAGCGUUGGCGAGACGUUUUUUGCUUUGCCCCGUAUAAGCGAGAGUGUCUUCGUUAUCAGCACAAAAAGCGGUCGACGACAUCGCCUGAUAUGAACGGGAAUCAAGUUACGGCUCCGCACUGAUGGAAGCACACCAGCAAGAAGAGCCCGCUUUGAAUGGGGAGAAUAACGAUUGCGCGUCUCUGAGUUUAACGAAAAUAUGGCGAAGGGUACGCGAUAAUGUUGUGACACGUUUCGUUAGCCGAGCGGUGUUUGCAUGAUGAAGUGAUAGUGUAGCUGCACAAUACUUUUUUUGGUACACAGCUUUUACUCUGACGCAGACAACACCUGUUCUUUUUCUGGCAUCUUCUUGUAUACGCCCUUUUUUAAUACUUUUGUGGCCUUAUCUCUUUCUCUGUUUUAUUACCAAACAAGGGUCUGGGCAUGUACAUACAAGAAGCAAGCAGCAAACGAGUAUGUACUGUGCUGUGAAUGCAAACUGUCUCAAGUAUACCUUUAUGACUAUCAAAGGCACUUCCAAAUACAUUCAUCUAUACAUAACAUAUCUGUGUCGUGCACCCAAGGAGACUGGAAUGGAAGCCGCGAACAAGAAAGUUGCUGCAGCCCAUAUAGGGCACCCGUGAUCAAAAUGGCUGCCCAGGACAACAUAUCUUUGUGUUGAAACCGGUCUGUGCAUAUUAUAAUGAAGACCAUGACGCCUGCACCUCGUUUCACACUGUAAGUUCUCAUGCACCAUCUUGAUUCUGAGAGUUCUUCUGUGAUAAUAUGAUCAUUGACAUAUUUUUUGGUGACACACAUGAAAAAGAAAAUAUCAAAGAUCAAAGUACUAUAGUGACAUCUGAAGGUUGUGUCAGUGCAGGGUACAGACAAGCAGUUCUAAAGGCAGCAACUAGGCAAUCACAGGCGACUCUCUCCAUUGUCUCUGUUUCCUGUCUGUCAGUGAUAUAGCAAAGUGCUGACAAAAAUUUUGUAAGAAGUAACGAGUGCACAAAGCUUUUUCAUGUUUAGUUUCUGUUUAAUGUGGCAUAUUUUCUGGUGUCUGAUGACUAUUAUAUGGCUGUUCAAUUGUUUGCAUUACUGAGUGAGGUAUAUACAAUCUUCCUUUGCACAGAGCUGUGCCAACAGCUGCGGAUUGCGCACCCCCAACACCACGCCUCUGCUAUUAGUAUGAGUGCUUCCAUUUGCUGGAAGUCUUCGUUGCCUGCAAUUGGCACCUUGCAGUGGUCAUUUCUUCUUUAUGAAAAACAUAUUUCUGUUUUGCGCAACUGAAAGAAAGUAUGCUGUCACAAAACAAAAGUCUGUGCUGCAGCUGCAACAUGGGCUCUCAAAGCAUUUGCAGCCACUGCAAUAGAUUUAUAGUACAUCUCUCUCUCAUUGGGUCAUCACUGCUACACUUCUUAGGCAUUGUUCUUCCCUUGGACAACGACAAAAUGCUAACUGCAAGCAGCGUGGAGAAAGCAUUGACGCUUCAGCUCGGAGUGUAUUUCAACUACGAUGUGCAGUACCUGCCACCAACGUUUCUUGUGUUAGAAUUCAUGCAAUGCUAUUUUGGACACAUCAGCCCUGAAAGAGGAACAAAGCACCCCCAACGGUAAACAAGAUUAAGUGGCAUGCCUGUUCGCGUUCUAUCACUUCUCUGCAAACUGGGGUAAAGUUCAAAGGAGCCGUUGCAAGCUGCCGUUCUGCAGAAAGUUACUGCACUGUACACUUCAUUGAAUAUAUUGUUUUAUGAACACAGAA